AAAAACAAACAGAAAGAACCCGCACGGCGCACGUUCUCCAUCUCCUUCCCCGACCUGUCUGUCUCCGUCCUCAGAUCUCAGCGCCUCCUUCCCCAUGUCCACCGGACGAGGCCCUCUCCAUCGGCCCUAUCCAGCGGACGGCCCCCUCUCCGGCGACCAGACGGGCGCUUCCCUUUACUCCCAUCAAUUUGGCAUCGCCCCGCCCAUGGAGCUUUCGCCAUGCCCGCCAGCGGCCAUGGUCGGGACCGACACCAUACUUGGAUGGAGAGGUCUGACAACGGACCAAUGCGACCGUGGUGGUCUGACCACGGCGGUGGAUGCGGCGACGGAGGUCUAGGAGGAGAGAUACGUGCGCUACAACUCUGAAGGCGGCGACGGAGACCAGGGAGGAGGAGAAGGAAAGGUAAGCCAGCUACACAGUGGGGGAGGUCGAGGAGACGAGGGAGAGGCACGCUCUCAGGUCUCGGCAGUGUGUGUAGGGUGCUCGCUAGAAUUCCCCACUCAUGGAAGCAGGCGAAGUAGCGCACCCUGCCACCGAACAUGACAGCUCUGAGUAUUGGUUAAGAAGAUUUCCAACGCCAAAUCUGGUAUCACCUUGCCCUUCUUUUCUAAUUUUGAAAAUAAUCGGAGAUGCCUGUGUCCUUAUCGUCUGUUUGGUUGACUUCGUGUUAGCGUCGUAGAAUUAAACUAAUUUAUUCAUAUGAUGUUGGUCAGUUUAGGAUAUUUAUUAUUUCCUUGGUGUUUGAUGUGUUGCUGCAUACCAGAACGAAGCUACAAAGGUGAACCAGCUAGCGAUGGUUGCAGGGAACAAGACAAUGGAUCCUCGUGAUGAGAGCAGAUGCGUACUGCUUGGUUUGGAUGGCAGAGGCAAACCAAAUAAGUGGGGUAAGGUUCUCUCAAAAAAAAAGUGGGGUAAGGAACACACACCACAUGGCCCAGAUGGUGAGCUCAUCUCCUCGCUUCUUUUAUUUUAUUUUAUCUGUGUGGAGUGAUGUGCUACAGCCUUAGUAAAAUAUCUCCAUAUCCAUACUCCUUAAAUCAGUUUAUGUUUGGUAGUGAUCUUUAAGGUUGUCUUCUUUCUAAUCUUGUUAGCGGGAAAAAUCAAGAAACAUUCCCUGAUAUUACAUAAUUGCAAACUUAUUCAGUGUCUGGUGCAGUUCUAAUCUCAUAUUGUUACUGAUGAAGAACUGAAAACACUGCAAGAUGCGAUGGAAGAGAAACUCCAGGGCAAGUGACAACUUAGCCGAGACUUAAGGUAAGCUCUUAUUUCAACAUCCAUGUCAUUUCUACUUAUUAUAUUAAGUUGGAUUUCUAAUACAGUUUAUGUUGUCAACACAACAAUAAGUAAUGAGCUUGAUAACCUAGACCAUCAAGUGCUUUCCUAGAGGAAAGCAUAAUCUCAAGAUGAAGGAGAAAGACAUGCUAAAGGCACAACUACUGGUCUUAAUUUUCACCACACCAUGUACUAAUAUUUGUUCUGGAAGACAAUGUUCGACCUUGCAUUGGCGGCAUGCAGGCCAUUUUAUUAUGUAGUAUAACUAAUUAACUAUUCACUAUAAAAACAGUGUAUUCUGGGGGUUCGGGGUUGAUAGGAAUAGAAGUUCCAAUGGAAUUUGAGGGAGUUAAUUUUGGCCGUGUUCCAUAAAAAUGUUGGUAGCACUGAAAUCUAUCUUUAAUUGGUAUAACCAUAAGUAAUCACCGCAUUGAACAUAUCGAAUGAAUGUCUCUAUUGGAAGGGGGGUUGUCGGAACAUCAUUUAUUUUCCCACUUGCUGCUGUAUUAAAUGUGUCAUUUGGCCUUAAUUUUGUGCACUGCAUUUUUCUUCACUCCUUUUUGUUCUUUACUAAGUUAGAAUCAUAUAUAAAUCGAAUUAUCUUUGUGGUGUCUUUCAGACCCCAUGAUCGUCAUUUUGCACUUAAGACACAGAACCACCAGAAAGUGUUCUCCCUUAUGUAUCAUGUUGUCAUGGGUGAUGAUCCAGAGGUGAAGGUUGGCCAGCCAUCUUCUGAUGUUUUCAUUUCUGCCAUGAGGAUGUUUAUAGUAUUAUAAUUGCUGUUUUAGAGCGCUUGUAACUGUUAUGUCCUUUACAUCAGUGUGUGAACUUCUUUUUUGCCUGAUGUUAUUGCCUUGUAUUUUUUUCCAGGGUAAUGUAGUACCCAGUCUGUUUAAUCUUUGAACGUGCACCAUCAGGUGUAGCAACAAAAAGAAUGCUGGAAUGUAAAGGGUCACAGCAGUUACAUUUGCACAACAUUUCUGCCUUUUGGUUAUGAGGCUGUACUACUGAAUUUCAGGGUCGCAGCAGCAAGGGUGAGGUGGAGUGCGGGGAAUGCAGGCAUAGGCAAGAUGUUGCGCUGAGGUUACCAGCUACACAUGCAUCACUGCCUCCAGUCAAAUUUGGGCGACUGGCAUUUCGGAAAAAUAUUCAAAAGAUCAUGCUGGGGCAUGCGACGACACCUCACGCAUUGACACCAAGUAAAACCUAUAUCGGAUGCCAAGGAGGUAUAACGGUAAAGAAAUAGUGGAAGAGAAACGAAAGAACCCAUUUAAAGAUAGGUUGUUUUAUGGAAAUUAUCAAGAUUAUGUAUCCUUGCAGUUGUAUUGCUACUACCGAAGUUCAUUUUUUCAUGCCCAACUUCUAU